rnacentral:ncRNA from 1 species
AGCGCUGCCGGCGCUAUAUAAGGGAAAGCGAUUAUAAUAGUUUCGCCUACGGUUUUGAAUAGCCGACGCUAUAAAAUAUUCAUGGUUUACUGGUACAUACCUAUUUUAAAGUACAGUAUUCCAUAAAUGGUAGAAGAUGUUACGAAGCCAGUACCGCCGGCGAUUGAAAGCGCGGACGAAUGAGUAACAAAGGGUAAGGUUAAAUCGCCGAAGUUAGAUUUCGGAUAGUUGCGUAAGCGACGGGAUUACAUAGGUACAUCGGUAACGAUGUAAUUAGUAGGGCAUUGGAUUUAGACGCUAAAUAAUAUGUACGGUAGUAGAAUACCGGCUAUAAAUA